UAAUCUGACUCUUUAUAAGAAAUCUCGUUGGCUGUAUACACUAGGGCUAAAUCACUGGAUGUUAUGCUAUUUUGAACCAUUUAUUACUUAAACAUGAGUAGGAUACACGAUAUUUUGAGUAAAAAAUACAUGACUGGAAAAUAAAACGACCGACACCUUCCAAUUAAAGUUUACCACAUCUUGCCUACAAAAUCUCUAUGAUACGAAAGUAGAGACCUGGGUUUAUGAGGAAUUAUCAAAGGGUAUUGAGCCAAGCAUUGAAACAGAGUCAGAAGACCUUUCUGCAAUAAUCAUGACACUAGUGAAGACGAUGAGAAAUCAGG